rnacentral:rRNA from 1 species
UACGUAGGGGGCAAGCGUUGUCCGGAAUCAUUGGGCGUAAAGCGCGUGUAGGCGGACUGGAAGGUCUGGUGUGAAAGCCCGGGGCUCAACCCCGGAGGGUCACUGGAAACCGACAGUCUUGAGUCCGGAAGAGGAGAGUGGAAUUCCUGGUGUAGCGGUGAAAUGCGCAGAUAUCAGGAGGAACACCGGUGGCGAAGGCGGGUCUCUGGGCCAUAACUGACGCUGAGGAGCGAAAGCGUGGGGAGCGAACAGG